GACGAACGCUGGCGGCGUGCUUAACACAUGCAAGUCGAGCGGUAAGGCCCUUUCGGGGGUACACGAGCGGCGAACGGGUGAGUAACACGUGGGUGACCUGCCCUCAGCUCUGGGAUAAGCCUGGGAAACCGGGUCUAAUACUGGAUAUGACUCCAUGACGCAUGUUGUGGGGUGGAAAGCCUUGUGCGGCUGAGGAUGGGCCCGCGGCCUAUCAGCUUGUUGGUGGGGUGANGGCCUACCAAGGCGACGACGGGUAGCCGGCCUGAGAGGGCGACCGGCCACACUGGGACUGAGACACGGCCCAGACUCCUACGGGAGGCAGCAGUGGGGAAUCUUGCGCAAUGGGACGAAAGCCUGACGCAGCGACGCCGCGUGAGGGAUGACGG
rnacentral:rRNA from 1 species